UAAGGUUAAUUGGUUGCGGAAUCUGGCAAAUCUGGAAUAGAAAACAAGAAAAAUUGAGUUUGAAAUGGAAUUUAUUUCUAUUUUUCUUUUACAAAAAUAGAUUCACCUAUUUAUGCUCUUCACCACUAAACCACACUAUUCACCUCUUUCUAUUUUUUGACAACUCUAUUUUUGUUGUCUGAAAAUGGAGUUGAAAACUAGAGAUUCUUGUUUGAUGAUGUCACAGUAAUUCUUUUUGCUGUGAGUGUAAUGAGCCACAUCUGCAUCGUUGCUGGUGGCUUUGAUUCUAAUGCGCCUAUAAAUAUCAGCUUGUAUCUCUCCAUUCCAAAUACACACACAAUAUGAAAUACUCUUGCAUCUUUGUAAAGAAAAUAUUUUUGGGAGUCCCAUUAAAUUUAUAGGUGUUGUUUGUUGGAGAUUUGGUGGAGGGAUCUGUUGGGUAGAAAUACAGAUACAGUUGUUGUUUUCUGGUGUAGCAUCAUCAAGAUUCACAUGCAAAAGCAUGGUGCCUGCUUAGUUGAUACCUACCAAUUACCAUACCAUCAUCUCUCUCUGUGAAAGCUAGCUUUGAAUGGUGAGAAUCUUGAUGAUGCUGCAUCGGCAAUAAAUGACUAGAAACCGUCGUGCUAAAAACUCAAUCUUCCCUAGUUUGUAUGGUUUCUGUCAGGUGGGACUUGGCCUUUUAUUUUUUUCUGGGAAACUCAAUACUAGCUAGUGGAGUAGUAUUUUAAAAAUUCUUCUACAUAGUCAGUCUCUUUCUCUCUCUUUUGGAUUUGACUGGUAUGGAAACUUUACUGAAUCACUGCUGAUUAUUCUUCUGCCACAGAAAAAAGUUUUGAAUUUUUGAUGCAACUCCUUUUCCUAUUCUUUUUCUUCAGAAAUUUGGAUAUCCAAGAUUUUAUCAUAAAGGGCUGGAAUUAUUUAUGGUAUAAUGUUUGUCUUUCCUCCACUUUUGUAUUUACAUCUGAUUUUCAAUUUUAGCAGAAUUAUAUCUCCUGGUAUGGCAACAAUUAAAAGAGCAGUCUUUGGGAAAGAAGUUGAAAUUAGAGGUUGUUACAGAUUAACAAGUGAGAGGUUAUGUUGUGUAAUGUUGCAAUAGAUUUUUCAAACAUUGAAUUUAAUAUGAGUUUGAAUCGUACAGAAAGGGCAACCCCACAAAGCAUAUGGGCAAGAGGAGAUGCAGUCUAUCAUCAAAUGAAUUUCAAAUGUUAAUAAAUACUAUCGAGUAUUUAUAUGAUUCUGCCGACAUUUUGAUGUAUAUUCAGAUGUACGUACGUGUUGUAAUUUGUCCACACGCUGCGAACAUUAACCCUAAUCAACGUAACUCCUCUUUCAAUCUCUCAACAUAUAUAUAAUAUAGGUAAGAAGAGAUCGUUUGUAGGUGUUGCUCUUGGAGGACUUUCAAGUAGUGAUCAAAGCCUUAUUUGUAAGUAGAGAUCGAUCAAAUCUAACAGGCGCUCCCCUUCUCAAACUCCAACUUCAAAUAAUGUUCAUAUUGCAUGGCACUUCCAAAUAAUAUACGAGUAGAAUUUAUGUCGUUGUAAA